AGUGGCGAACGGGUGAGUAACACGUAGGUAACCUGCCUCUUUGACUGGGAUAACUGCUGGAAACGGUAGCUAAUACCAGAUAGGUAUAUGGAUGGCAUCAUUCAUAUAUUAAAGGCGCUCAUGGCGCUGCGAAGAGAUGGACCUGCGGUGUAUUAGCUAGUUGGUGAGGUAAUGGCUCACCAAGGCGAUGAUACAUAGCCGACCUGAGAGGGUGACCGGCCACAUUGGGACUGAGACACGGCCCAAACUCCUACGGGAGGCAGCAGUAGGGAAUUUUCGGCAAUGGGGGGAACCCUGACCGAGCAACGCCGCGUGAAGGAAGAAGGAAUUCGUUCUGUAAACUUCUGUUAUAAAGGAAGAAAGAGGCAGUCAGGAAAUGGACUGCAGGUGACGGUACUUUAUGAGAAAGCCACGGCUAACUACGUGCCAGCAGCCGCGGUAAUACGUAGGUGGCAAGCGUUAUCCGGAUUUAUUGGGCGUAAAGCGAGCGCAGGCGGUUUUUUAAGUCUGAUGUGAAAGCCCUCGGCUUAACCGAGGAAGUGCAUCGGAAACUGGGAAACUUGAGUGCAGAAGAGGACAGUGGAACUCCAUGUGUAGCGGUGAAAUGCGUAGAUAUAUGGAAGAACACCAGUGGCGAAGGCGGCUUUCUGGACGAAAACUGACGCUGAGGCGCGAAAGCCAGGGGAGCGAACGGGAUUAGAUACCCCGGUAGUCCUGGCCGUAAACGAUGGGUACUAGGUGUUGGAGGGUUUCCGCCCUUCAGUGCCGCAGCUAACGCGUUAAGCAUCCCGCCUGGGGAGUACGGCCGCAAGGCUAAAACUCAAAGAAAUUGACGGGGGCCCGCACAAGCGGUGGAGUAUGUGGUUUAAUUCGACGCAACGCGAAGAACCUUACCAGGUCUUGACAUCUUUUGAUCACCUGAGAGAUCAGGUUUCCCCUUCCGGGGGCAAAAUGACAGGUGGUCCAUGGUUGUCGUCAGCUCGUGCUGUGAGAUGUUGGGUUAAGUCCCGCAACGAGCGCAACCCUUAUUGUUAGUUGCCAGCAUUCAGAUGGGCACUCUAGCGAGACUGCCGGUGACAAACCGGAGGAAGGCGGGGACGACGUCAGAUCAUCAUGCCCCUUAUGACCUGGGCUACACACGUGCUACAAUGGCGUAUACAACGAGUUGCCAGCCCGCGAGGGUGAGCUAAUCUCUUAAAGUACGUCUCAGUUCGGAUUGUAGUCUGCAACUCGACUACAUGAAGUCGGAAUCGCUAGUAAUCGAGGAUCAGCACGCCGCGGUGAAUACGUUCCCGGGUCUU
rnacentral:rRNA from 1 species